rnacentral:ribozyme from 1 species
GUCUUUUGGUUCCAGAUCGUGGCCCCCCUGCCUCGUUCGACGCAGCAGGAU